rnacentral:rRNA from 2 species
AAAUUGAAGAGUUUGAUCAUGGCUCAGAUUGAACGCUGGCGGCAGGCCUAACACAUGCAAGUCGAACGGUAACAGGAAUCAGCUUGCUGAUUCGCUGACGAGUGGCGGACGGGUGAGUAAUGUCUGGGAAACUGCCUGAUGGAGGGGGAUAACUACUGGAAACGGUAGCUAAUACCGCAUAAUGUCGCAAGACCAAAGAGGGGGACCUUCGGGCCUCUUGCCAUCGGAUGUGCCCAGAUGGGAUUAGCUUGUUGGUGGGGUAACGGCUCACCAAGGCGACGAUCCCUAGCUGGUCUGAGAGGAUGACCAGCCACACUGGAACUGAGACACGGUCCAGACUCCUACGGGAGGCAGCAGUGGGGAAUAUUGCACAAUGGGCGCAAGCCUGAUGCAGCCAUGCCGCGUGUAUGAAGAAGGCCUUCGGGUUGUAAAGUACUUUCAGCGGGGAGGAAGGGAGUAAAGUUAA